rnacentral:rRNA from 1 species
UACGAAGGGGGCUAGCGUUGUUCGGAAUUACUGGGCGUAAAGCGAACGUAGGCGGUGUUCCAUGUCAGAGGUGAAGGCCUGGGGCUCAACUCCAGAAUUGCCUUUGAAACGGGAACGCUUGAGUCCGAGAGAGGAUGGCGGAAUUCCUAGUGUAGAGGUGAAAUUCGUAGAUAUUAGGAAGAACACCGGUGGCGAAGGCGGCCAUCUGGCUCGGUACUGACGCUCAGGUUCGAAAGCGUGGGGAGCAAACAGG